CACAUGACUAUUCCUGUCAGGCUCGGAGAAACUUCGGGUUGUUUUUGUGUCAGUCGAUUCUGCAACAGUGACUAACUAACACAGCACUAGUUGAGACAUCAUUACAGCGUGAAAUCCAGCACAGCGUGACCCGGUUCUGUAAGGAAUUCUGUUCAGGAGGUCGCAUUUCAGGCUCUCCACAUCAUAUGUGACUGACUUUUAUGUUAUAAUAACGAUCACACACUAGGAAUGUUAUAAAGUGAAUUAUUUUUAAUAUGUUUACUAUGUAAACAUUUUAUUAUUACCUUCUAGUUUUAAUUUGUUUUGCAGAUUAUUGUUACACGUGAUUUUAUGCUCUUUUCAACAUUUAUAAAUGUGCUGUUUCUUUGUUUUUUAUAUAGGCACCAAGUUUAGAGCUCCCAGCUGCUGUGUGUCUUGUGACACAGGGACCAUGAUGAAAAUUCAUCUUCCAGAAAGUCUGGCUCAUCAUUUAGCCAGAUUUCUAAGUUCCUGGGUGCCUUCAAUGUGCAGGGACUGUCCAAGCAGAUAUUCUAUCGACAUCAGGCAAAGCUGUUAAUUCCAACAGUGAGCUGGCAGUGGCAUCUAGAGCAUACUGAUUUCAUCCAGGAGGCUACUGAAUGUGGACCUGUGACUCUUGGUGGUGACAUGCGAGCUGAUUCACCUGGGGCCGGGCUGAGGAGGAGGCGGAUUGGAUCCGCCGUGCGGCGAUCCUGUGGUUCCCAGACGACCUUGGAGGUUCCUUGGUCGAGAGCUCAGCAGGGCCGGACUGGACCGCCUUGUCCCUUGGGGC